rnacentral:rRNA from 1 species
ACGAACGCUGGCGGCGUGCUUAACACAUGCAAGUCGAACGGAAAGGCCCUGCUUUUGUGGGGUGCUCGAGUGGCGAACGGGUGAGUAACACGUGAGUAACCUGCCCUUGACUUUGGGAUAACUUCAGGAAACUGGGGCUAAUACCGGAUAGGAGCUCCUGCUGCAUGGUGGGGGUUGGAAAGUUUCGGCGGUUGGGGAUGGACUCGCAGCUUAUCAGCUUGUUGGUGGGGUAGUGGCUUACCAAGGCUUUGACGGGUAGCCGGCCCGAGAGGGUGACCGGCCACAUUGGGACUGAGAUACGGCCCGGACUCCUACGGGAGGCAGCAGUGGGGAAUAUUGCACAAUGGGCGGAAGCCUGAUGCAGCAACGCCGCGUGCGGGAUGACGGCCUUCGGGUUGUAAACCGCUUUCGCCUGUGACGAAGCGUGAGUGACGGUAAUGGGUAAAGAAGCACCGGCUAACUACGUG